rnacentral:rRNA from 1 species
AGUGAACGCUGGCGGUAGGCCUAACACAUGCAAGUCGAACGGCAGCACAGUAAGAGCUUGCUCUUACGGUUGGCGAGUGGCGGACGGGUGAGGAAUACAUCGGAAUCUACUUUUUCGUGGGGGAUAACGUAGGGAAACUUACGCUAAUACCGCAUACGACCUACGUGUGAAAGCAGGGGAUCUUCGGACCUUGCGCGAUUGAAUGAGCCGAUGUCGGAUUUGCUAGUUGGCGGGGUAAAGGCCCACCAAGGCGACGAUCCGUAGCUGGUCUGAGAGGGUGAUCAGGCAGACUGGAACUGAGACACGGUCCAAACUCCUACGGGAGGCAGCAGUGGCGAAUAUUGGACAAUGGGCGGAAGCCUGAUCCAGCCAUACCGCGUGGGUGAAGAAGGCCUUCGGGUUGUAAAGCCAUUUUGUUGGGAAAGAAAAGCAGCAGGUUAAUACCCCGCUGUUCUGACGGUACCCAAAGAAUAAGCACCGGCUAACUUCGUG